GGCAGUCGGCGGGACGCUUAUCGUAAGGCGCGGCAGACGGAGGGCCGCUCUUGGGCAGUUUGUAUCCAUGCGAAAUGAGGAGGUCCUCCACGCUGUACAUGGCGGCGUCGCUCUCACUCCAGGGCGGGAGGGCAAAGCCAUUCCAGACAGGAGAAGAUAUCCAGGCCUGGAGGGCUGCACGCACAGGCCUCUGUUUCUGAUUGAUCGGUGGUGACGCUUCCGUUCAACUCGCCCAAAGCCGAUUGCUCCUGGAUGUCCGUCAUCUCCCCAACGGUGAAGAUGGGCUCCCCCACCUUGCUGUGGGCCGAGCCGCCGUCCGGCUGCUUGGUGGCUUGUUCGGCCAGCGUGGGCUCUUCGUCCAGCCUGCUGGAGAUGGACCAGUAGAGAUGCUACCUCAAACGUGUGAUGAAAGGCUCCGUAGUCGAUGUCAAAGAAGCCCUCUGCCAGCAACAUCAUGGGGCUGAACCUGUGACCCCACAACACCUCCUCCGCCAGAAUGACCACAAUCUCGAAAUCCUCCUUCUCCAGCUGGGCCUGCGACAUGUCCCAGAAGGGCGAGCGCGCGUCAAUUUCAUGGGAGAUCACCAGCGGAGAGACGAGGAAGAGGCGGUCAUCGCCCGUCUCAAAGCC